CCCACAAUUCUGCAGGAAAUCUAUUAAUAGAACUGACAAUAAAUAACAAUCCAGGGCUUUUGUCUUGGAAUUGGAAUGAGAACAAUUUAAAUCUCUUAACGAGGAACAAUUGGAGGGCAAGUCUGGUGCCAGCAGCCGCAGUAAUUCCAGCUCCAAUAGCGUAUAUUAAAGUUGUUGCAGUUAAAUAGCUCGUAGUUGAAUCUUGGGCCUGGUUUGGCGGUCGCGCUUUAGGGCGUGUACUGUCGGCCGGGUCUUUUACUUGCGGGGAACGUGCGUGCCUCUCGGGGUGUGUACGGGAACCGUGGCUAUUACUUUGAAAAAAUUAGAGUGUUUAAAGCAGGCGUAAGCUUGUAUACAUUAGCAUGGAAUAAUAGAAUAGGACUUUGGUUUUAUUUUGUUGGUUUCUAGGGCCGAAGUAAUGAUUAAUAGGGAUAGUUGGGGGCAUUAGUAUUUAAUAGUCAGAGGUGAAAUUCUUGGAUUUAUGAAAGACUAACUUCUGCGAAAGCAUUUGCCAAGGAUGUUUUCAUUAAUCAAGAACGAAAGUCAGGGGAUCGAAGAUGAUCAGAUACCGUCGUAGUCCUGACCGUAAACUAUGCUGACUAGGGAUCGGGCGUUGUAUUUCAUGACACGCUCGGCACCUUAUGAGAAAUCAAAGUCUUUGGGUACCG
rnacentral:ncRNA from 1 species